rnacentral:lncRNA from 1 species
UACUUUCUUAAAUUUUCUAAAUUCUUUCUUCACGUAAGUUCUUGUUUUUUCCCAGUUUUUUUAGCUUUAUUUUUUAUUUUUUUUGUUAGAUUGUUCCCGAUUUAUUUUGUUUCUUGUUGUUCGUGGAAUGCAAGCUGUUGUUUGUUCUGUCGUCUUCUUCUUUCAGUUAUGUAAAACAGAUAUAUUUCUCGUCCUUUUUUAUCACUCUUUUUAAAAGUUCAUCUUAUUUGUAGGUAUAGGUUUU